UUUCCGUAGGUGAACCUGCGGAAGGAUCAUUACUGAGUGAGGGCCCCUCGGGGUCCAACCUCCCACCCGUGUUUAACGAACCUUGUUGCUUCGGCGGGCCCGCCUCACGGCCGCCGGGGGGCAUUUGCCUCCGGGCCCGCGCCCGCCGAAGCCACCUGUGAACGCUGUCUGAAGUAUGCAGUCUGAGACAAUUAUUAAAUUAAUUAAAACUUUCAACAACGGAUCUCUUGGUUCCG
rnacentral:misc_RNA from 1 species